AUUGAACGCUGGCGGCAUGCUUUACACAUGCAAGUCGGACGAGUGGCGGACGGGUGAGUAACGCAUCGGAACGUCCCUAAUGAUGGGGGAUAACUGUCCGAAAGUGCAGCUAAUACCGCAUAUUAUUCGAUGUGCCGAUGUGUGAUUAGCUGGUUGGCGGGGUAAAGGCUCACCAAGGCGACGAUCAGUAGCGGGUCUGAGAGGAUGAUCAGCCACACGGGGACGUAGACACGGCCCAGACUCCUACGGGAGGCAGCAGUGGGGAAUUUUGGACAAUGGGCGCAAGCCUGAUCCAGCCAUGCCGCGUGUCUGAAGAAGGCCUUCGGGUUGUAAAGGACUUUUGUCAGGGAAGCGGUACCUGAAGAAUAAGCACCGGCUAACUACGUGCCAGCAGCCGCGGUAAUAC
rnacentral:rRNA from 1 species